GUAGGUGGCAAGCGUUAUCCGGAAUUAUUGGGCGUAAAGCGCGCGCAGGCGGUUUCUUAAGUCUGAUGUGAAAGCCCACGGGCUCAACCGUGGAGGGUCAUUGGAAACUGGGGAACUUGAGUGCAGAAGAGAAAAGCGGAAUUCCACGUGUAGCGGUGAAAUGCGUAGAGAUGUGGAGGAACCACCAGUGGCGAAGGCGGCUUUUUGGUCUGUAACUGACGCUGAGGCGCGAAAGCGUGGGGAGCAAACAGGAUUAGAUACCCUGGUAGUCCACGCCGUAAACGAUGAGUGCUAAGUGUUAGAGGGUUUCCGCCCUUUAGUGCUGCAGCUAACGCAUUAAGCACUCCGCCUGGGGAGUACGGUCGCAAGACUG
rnacentral:rRNA from 1 species